rnacentral:rRNA from 1 species
GACGAACGCUGGCGGCGCGCUUAACACAUGCCAGUCGAACGGAAAGGCCCUGCUUUUGUGGGGUGCUCGAGUGGCGAACGGGUGAGUAACACGUGAGUAACCUGCCCUUGACUUUGGGAUAACUUCAGGAAACUGGGGCUAAUACCGGAUAGGAGCUCCUGCUGCAUGGUGGGGGUUGGAAAGUUUCGGCGGUUGGGGAUGGACUCGCGGCUUAUCAGCUUGUUGGUGGGGUAGUGGCUUACCAAGGCUUUGACGGGUAGCCGGCCUGAGAGGGUGACCGGCCACAUUGGGACUGAGAUACGGCCCAGACUCCUACGGGAGGCAGCAGUGGGGAAUAUUGCACAAUGGGCGGAAGCCUGAUGCAGCAACGCCGCGUGCGGGAUGACGGCCUUCGGGUUGUAAACCGCUUUCGCCUGUGACGAAGCGUGAGUGACGGUAAUGGGUAAAGAAGCACCGGCUAACUACGU